rnacentral:rRNA from 1 species
UACGGAGGGUCCAAGCGUUAUCCGGAAUCAUUGGGUUUAAAGGGUCCGUAGGCGGUUUUGUAAGUCAGUGGUGAAAGCCCAUCGCUCAACGGUGGAACGGCCAUUGACACUGCAAGACUUGAAUUAUUGUGAAGUAACUAGAAUAUGUAGUGUAGCGGUGAAAUGCUUAGAGAUUACAUGGAAUACCAAUUGCGAAGGCAGGUUACUAUCAAUAUAUUGACGCUGAUGGACGAAAGCGUGGGGAGCGAACAGG